rnacentral:rRNA from 1 species
UAAACUAGGGAUUAGAUACCCUAUUAUUAUUUAAGAAAAUUUAUUAAUAAUAUAAGAUUAAAUUAAAAAAAUUGGCGGUCUUUUUUCAUAUUAGAGAAAUUUGUCCCAUAAAGGAUAAUACACCAUCGAAUUUACUAUAUUUAAAAUUUUUAUAUCGCUGUUUUCAAAUUAUAAAAGAAAUUAUAAUUAAAAAAGAUUAUUCUAGAAAUUCAAGUCAAGGUAAAGUUAUAAUAUAGGGAGGAUGAAUUACAAUAAAAAAAUUUAGAAUGGAUAAUAUUUUUUAAAGAUAUUUGAAGGUGAAUUUAAAAGUAAAAUUUUUAAAUAAAAAUUUGAUUAAGUUCAAAGAGAUGUACAUAUCGCCG